UACGGAGGGUGCGAGCGUUGUCCGGAAUCAUUGGGCGUAAAGGGCGCGUAGGUGGCGGGACAAGCGUGCGGUGAAAGCUCGUGGCUCAACUACGAGUCGGCCAACGAUACUCCUCGGCUCGAGCACUGUAGAGGCAGGUGGAAUUCCGGGUGUAGCGGUGGAAUGCGUAGAGACCCGGAAGAACACCGGUGGCGAAGGUGGCCUGCUGGGCAGUAGCUGACGCUGAGGCGCGACAGCGUGGGGAGCGAACAGG
rnacentral:rRNA from 1 species